rnacentral:rRNA from 1 species
UACGUAGGGGGCGAGCGUUGUUCGGAAUUAUUGGGCGUAAAGGGCGCGUAGGCGGCGCGACAAGUCACCUGUGAAAUCCCCGGGCUUAACUCGGGGCCUGCAGGCGAAACUGUCGUGCUGGAGUAUGGGAGAGGUGCGUGGAAUUCCCGGUGUAGCGGUGAAAUGCGUAGAUAUCGGAAGGAACACCUGUGGCGAAAGCGGCUCACUGGACCAUAACUGACGCUGAUGCACGAAAGCUAGGGGAGCAAACAGG